GACCCUCUCCGCUCACCUGCCCCGGCGGGGAGGCCUCGCCGCAGAGCGCGGGGCUCCAGGGGCCGAGGCGGCCGCUCCCGCAGCCUCCGGCCGCCCCUCAUCCAGAGCCGGGCGCGCGCCGCUCCGCCGCCGCCUCGCGCGCCGCCAUCUCGGCCCCGUCACCCGGGAGACGCUCCCGCCCCUUCCGGCCGCGCCGCUCCUCUCGGUCUCGAUCCCGGAGCGCGGCCGGGCCGCGCUGCCCUCGGCGGCCUCACCGCGCCCGCCUCUGCCCCGCGGCUCGGCACAGCGGCCGCCGGGCCACGGGGGAGUCCCACCCGGGUCUUUGUCCCUUGGAGGAACUGCGAUCAAAAGACAUUGUGCUUUAGCGGACUCAAGGUGCUGCACACGUGGCAGUAAAGGUUCCCGUGUGGUCGUCGGGAUGCUGAGCUGUAAAUCUGGUUGCUACUAAAAAACAAACGCCGCUGACAGAUUCCGAGGGCAUUGCGUUCCACCCAGCUACACUGGUACUGAGGCCAACAACUUCUGCUUGUGUUCAACUAAAGUAACAUUUCUCCUUAUGGAAAGUAUUUUGGUUUUCCUUUCUCUGCUGGAAGAAACUGAGCAACUGCUGCCAGCUCCAGGGAACAUGCAUUGGCGAGUACUGUAUUUCCAGAAAGUUCUUCCAUAAAGACAUGUUGUACUCAGGAAAGCACUGAAAAAUGAAGGAUCCACCAUAUUUCUUCAUGACUUGUCUACAGAAAGACUGGGCUAAAUCAGCUACUAAAAUGUAUAUACACUGGGCUGCCAGCUAAAAGAAGUAUAUGCCCAUAGCCAAGUGUGUGGAAAAAAAACCCCUCAUCAGGACAAUGUUCUGACUGACUUCUGAACGUUACUGUUUUCAACACUCAACCAAAUGAGUAGAAACUGAGACUCUGCAGAGAACAGUUUGCAGAACAAGCUACCCUAUGCAUCUGAGAAUAAACCUGCAGGUAAAAAGAAACCAUCUCCCAUUGCUGAUAUCACUCCCAAUCUGACUUCAUUCUUAGAAGAUCCAUCAAAAUACCUCUGACCAGCACAGUCCAGUGUAAUUUGGGUCUGCACAUGUUGUCUGACAUUUCUUGCCUACCUACUGAAUUGAGGCUGCACUGGUGUUAUUGACAGAACUCAUGUGGGGAACACACGGCGUUGGGCUGCUUGUAUCAGAGAGCAGCCAGUGUUACCUGAGACAGGAGCCACCAGGCAGUCACUCUCUCCCCUUCCUUCUGGGUCUCUGAAAGCUUUUGCAUUUAAAGCCACUCUGGGCAGAACUUUACAGCUUAUUUUUGGAAGCCAGUGAAAGAGCUAUUUGUCAAACCUUUAACUUCAGAUUGGUCAGCACAAUUCUCUGAAAAUUUAUACAGCAUUCAGUCUUCAUUCUGUGCCAAGUAUGAGUUGCCUGCAGAGAACUACACUGCACUUACAGCAAUUGCACUUGAACUGUCAUGUUCUAGGUGGAAUCUCAAAUGUUUACUAAUCAGACAACAAGCCUUCCACAGUUCACUGUAUGAAUACCUUAAAUCUCAGCCUCUCCCACCACAGUGAAGGAAAUCAAGUGGAAACUCUGAAGCAAGUUGCUGUGUGUCCAUGACAUGCUGCAGCCAUUCAUCAAGCAAAGACUUUUAAAAUCCUAUGCAAUAUAUUACAUCAGCAAAGGCCUCUAAGAACAAGAAUACAGAUGGUAUUUUAUAGCUUUGACAUAUAUAAAACACACUCAACUAGCAUAUAUUUUGCUAGAUCAUGUGAAGAAACCUUCUGUAUUCCAUCAAUUACUAGUAUUGGGUAAAUCAAGUGUAGAAUGAAGAACUCAGAAAAAAUUUACAUAUAUGCAAUUUAGACAGAACAUACUUGUAGCAAAAGAAGUUGCAGUCAAAAACUGAAUUAACAUACUGUGCUGGUUUUGGUUGGGAUAGAAUUAAUUUUCUUCAUAGUAGCUAUUAUGGGGGUGUGUUUUGGAUUUGUGCUGAAAACAGUGUUAAUAUAGAGGUGUUUUUGUUAUCCCUGAGCAGAGCUUACACAAAGCCAAGGCCUCUUCUCCUUCUCACCCCACCCCACCAGCAAGGGGGCUGGGGGUGCACAAGGAGCUGGGAGGGGACACAGCUGAGACAGCUGAACCCAACUGCCCACAGGAACAUCCCAGAUCAUAUGAUGACAAGCUCAACACGUUAAGCUGGGGGAAGAAGGAAGGGGGAGAUGUUUGGAGUGAUGGCAUUUGUCUUCCAGAAUAACUUAGGAGCCCCACAUUCCUGGCGAUGGCUGAAUACCCGACUGCCAAUGGGAAGUGGUGAAUUAAUUCCUUGUUUUGCUUUGUUUGUGUGCAUGGCUUUUGCCUUACCUGUUUAACUGUCUUUAUCUCAAUCCAUGGGUGUUCUCACUUACUAUUCUGAUUCUUUGCCCCAUCCCACCGAGGGGGGAGUGAGCAAGCAGUUGUGUGGGGCUGAGUUGCUAGCUGGGGUUAAUCCAUGACACAUAAUUGAAUGCAAAAAAACUUUUUCAAAAACAAGGUGGACCUUUGAGUGGAAGAAAGAACUUUCUUAUAUCUAACACCCACCAUUAUUUGUCAGCAUGGAGACAGUGACAUGCAGCAAGUAUGCUCAAACGGACAUGAAGACAGAUUUAAAACAAUACAGCCUAGGUUGUCAGGAGGAAUAUCUUCAGCAGAUCGCUGAUCCUGGCUCCUGUGAUAUUACAGUUUUGAGUAGACAAAAGGUAUUCAUGACCAAUUACAUCCUGUCCUAUUUGAUGUUGAUAUUGCCCUGGUUACACAGACUCCUGUCUAGUACCAAAUUUCACCUUCGGCUGUUGCCAGACUCUUCUCUCCCAGCUAUUCCCCAUUUUGAGCAGACUGUAGUGCACUCAGCCUGGCACGGACAUCCUGGCGCUGCUGUUUCGCCCCAGCCCAGUGCAGGUGAUGCUCUCGGCUUAGCACUGCUCGCCUCCAGCGCGGGCAGCACACACUUGGCUCUGUACCACAGCAGUUUUUGUUCUUUCCGAAAGCCGCGGGACUGGGAGGGACUGGAGAGGGAAGGGGGAGCAGCCGCCGCCCUCCCCGUGAGUGGGGCGCGGGUGCCCCCGAGCGGCUCCUCGGCUGGGACUCACAGCGAGGACGGGACGGGCACAGCCCACUGCCACAGGAAUGACUUUCUAAAUGGCAGGUUUUAGAGUAUUCUAGUUAGGAGCAUGAAUAUUUAUGUUGGGUCAAUUAAUUUUUCACAGUAGCCACCGAGACACAACAGUAUCCAAUUCCUCAUUCAGUUUCUGCUUAUACUUCUCCUCCACUUCAUAGUCAAUCAAACACCUCAAAGAAUUUAAAAUCCAUCACGUUAAGAGACUUAUGCUGGCAAAUUACUGAAUUAUACUUCAAUUUCAGAAGGCCCCAAAGAUCUAAUAAAUAAAAAUUACCAGUAAUAUGGGCAAAGCUAGAAAAUUGUAGUUGUUGUGGAUUAGAAUACUGACUCUUUAAUUAAAGUAAACAUGAAAAUAAGAGGA